rnacentral:rRNA from 1 species
AUUGAACGCUGGCGGCAUGCCUUACACAUGCAAGUCGAACGGUAACAGGUCUUCGGAUGCUGACGAGUGGCGAACGGGUGAGUAAUACAUCGGAACGUGCCUAGUAGUGGGGGAUAACUACUCGAAAGAGUGGCUAAUACCGCAUGAGAUCUACGGAUGAAAGCAGGGGAUCGCAAGACCUUGUGCUACUAGAGCGGCCGAUGGCAGAUUAGGUAGUGGGUGGGAUAAAAGCUUACCAAGCCUACGAUCUGUAGCUGGUCUGAGAGGACGAGAAGCCGCACUGGGGCUGAGACACGGACCAGACUCCUACGGGAGGCAGCAGUGGGGAAUUUUGAACAAUGGGCGCAAGCCUGAUCCAGCAAUGCCGCGUGCAGGAUGAAGGCCUUCGGGUUGUAAACUGCUUUUGUACGGAACGAAAAGCCCUGGGUUAAUACCCUGGGGUCAUGACGGUACCGUAAGAAUAAGCACCGGCUAACUACGUGCCAGCCGCCGCAGUAACAC